CAGCAGACACAUUCCAGCCAAUUAGCAGCAGACCCUCCCUCCCCCUCCCACCUCCUGGACAGCAUCCAUUUUACAUUCAUUGUGAAGCUGCAUUCUUAGUGAGCUGUCCAGGAGGUGGAAGGGUCUGGGAGGGAGGGUCUGCUGCUGAUUGGCUGGAAUGUGUCUGCUG
rnacentral:miRNA from 1 species